UACGUAGGGUGCAAGCGUUGUCCGGAAUUAUUGGGCGUAAAGAGCUCGUAGGCGGUUUGUCGCGUCUGCUGUGAAAACUCGGGGCUUAACUCCGGGCCUGCAGUGGGUACGGGCAGACUAGAGUGCGGUAGGGGAGACUGGAAUUCCUGGUGUAGCGGUGAAAUGCGCAGAUAUCAGGAGGAACACCGGUGGCGAAGGCGCCACUCUGGGCCGUAACUGACGCUGAGGAGCGAAAGCAUGGGGAGCGAACAGG
rnacentral:rRNA from 1 species